UCAGGAACGGGGAAAGCAAAUAGAAACUACAAAAUGUUUCUUCUUAACGGACCUACUGGACGUCUCUACAGUUCCGCCAUUCUAGUAGGCAUUCUUUUUCUGGCAAUACCCAAUGCAAAUUCAUUCUUCUGGACUACUCCACUACAAUAUACAUAUGGGAAGACAGGCUACGGCGACAUGCUAAACGUCCAUCGUAUAGAAUUGGUUGCGUCUUAUUGGGGAACUAGACCUGACGUAUGGUUGAGUCAAUGGCCACCUUGUUAUAGUCCAGUAAUCGUAGUGACGUCACCAAAUAAAGUGAACAUGGAUAUAAGA